AGUGGCAUUCAGAGAUGCAGAAAGAAGAAAGGCAGUAAUGGAAAGAGGGAAAGCAUGGGGAGAGAUUCACAAAGAACUGAUGACUGUUUUAACCAUAAGAAAUUUGAAGAAAAAACAGAUUCAGAAACAAAAGGAAAUAAUGCUGAAAAUGUUAAAAGAGCUUAAGGUGGUGGCAUCCAGGUAUGUAGAGCGUAGAAAGUCAAUAAUGGAAAUAAGACAGACAAUGUGGAGACUGAUUCACGAAGAG